UAGGGAGCCCAAAAAGGGUAAAUCAAGCUUCUAACUUGAUUAAGGGCGGUGAAGCGUCCCUCCUUAG
rnacentral:tRNA from 1 species